UUGAAGACAAAAUAAUUUUUUUUUUCUUUUCAGUGUGCUAUUGUUUUUGUUGGUCGACUCGUUUCGUGUUAGUGCCGGUUUUUUUAUUUCCUUUUAGUUUUUUUUCGGCGGUUAUUUUUUUUUGUUAAAAAGUUUUUAUUUUAUAAUUUUCUGUGGCUAUAAUUUAUACAAAUUAUUACAUGCUUAAUUUUAGAUUACUUUUAAAAUAGCUACCUACCUUGCUUUAGCUAUUAACUGUUAUAUUAAUAAUCCUACUUUAACUAUUAUGUUCUGUAAUAUAAAUUAAUUACCCCUAUUUUCCCACCCUUAGGGUAGGAUUUUUUUCCAAAUUUUUAUUAUUAUUACGACUACUCUGUAAAAGGUUAUGCGUGGUCAUACGUUACAAUCGGUGAGUGAAAAAAUCAAUCAUCCCCUAUUUUCCUACCCUUAAGGUUGGAUUUUUUUUUCCAAAUUUAUAUGGGACCAACUUCGGGGUAUACCCUUUCCAAUAAAAAAAUAAUUAUCAAAAUCGAACACCUCUGUAAAAAGUUAUGCGUGGUCAUACAUAAAAAAAAAAAAAAAUAUAUACGCGUCGACUUGAGAACCUCCUCCGUUUUUUUUUUCGUCGGUUGAAAAUGACAAUUACAGCGCAGUAAACAGUACCUAUAGGCCCCGUGCAUGAACUAUAGGGGGCAGCAUAGGGGCUAUUCAUAAAUUACGUCAUUUCAAAUUAGGGGGGGGGGGGGUUCUGGACAUCGGACGAUGGUAGCAUGACGUACGAGGAAACGGGGUCAUACGAAGCAUGAUUUUUGGAUGAUUUUAGGGGGGUGGGGGGGUGUCAAAAAUCGAUGACGUAAUUAAUGGACAGCCCCAUAGGAGCCAUCAGAUUUUUGGCGCGAGGCGUAAAUGUGUAUUUUUUUAUACUUACCACAUCGGUGGCAAACAAGCAUACGGCCCGCCUGAUGGUAAGCAGUCACCGUAGCCUAUGGACGCCUGCAACUCCAGAGGUGUUACAUGCGCGUUGCCGACCUUUUAAAAACCUGUACACUCCUUUUUUGAAGAACCCCAUACUGUAGACCCUCGGGAAAACCUC